AGUGAACGCUGGCGGUAGGCCUAACACAUGCAAGUCGAACGGCAGCACAGUAAGAGCUUGCUCUUACGGGUGGCGAGUGGCGGACGGGUGAGGAAUACAUCGGAAUCUACUUUUUCGUGGGGGAUAACGUAGGGAAACUUACGCUAAUACCGCAUACGACCUACGGGUGAAAGCAUGGGAUCUUCGGACCUUGCGCGAUUGAAUGAGCCGAUGUCGGAGUAGCUAGUUGGCUGGGUAAAGGCCCACCAAGGCGACGAUCCGUAGCUGGUAUGAGAGGAUGAUCAGCCACACUGGAACUGAGACACGGUCCAGACUCCUACGGGAGGCAGCAGUGGGGAAUAUUGGACAAUGGGUGCAAGCCUGAUCCAGCCAUACCGCGUGGGUGAAGAAGGCCUUCGGGUUGUAAAGCCAUUUUGUUGGGAAAGAAAAGCAGCAGGUUAAUACCCCGCUGUUCUGACGGUACCCAAAGAAUAAGCACCGGCUAACUUCGUG
rnacentral:rRNA from 1 species